rnacentral:rRNA from 1 species
CAGCAGCCGCGGUAAUACGAAGGGUGCAAGCGUUAAUCGGAAUUACUGGGCGUAAAGCGUGCGUAGGCGGUGAGUUAAGUCUGCUGUGAAAUCCUCGGGCUCAACCUGGGAAUGGCAGUGGAUACUGGCUCGCUAGAGUGUGUCAGAGGAUGGUGGAAUUCCCGGUGUAGCGGUGAAAUGCGUAGAGAUCGGGAGGAACAUCAGUGGCGAAGGCGGCCAUCUGGGACAACACUGACGCUGAGGCACGAAAGCGUGGGGAGCAAACAGGAUUAGAUACCCCGGUAGUCCCUGUCUCUUAUAC